GAAGGUAGAAGGGGAAGAAAUCAGCACUUUGCUAAGUGCAUAUUCCCUUCUGGAAUAUGUCCCAGCAAUCAACAUCAAUUUCAGUCUCUAUGAUUUGUGGAUUCCACCCUUCCCUCCUUUGGAAAAACAGUACAUUAACAUCUCUAACCUUCCUGC